GGGUUUGUAUGUGUGUGUAUGUGUCUGUGUGUGUAUGUGUGUGUGUGUUUGUCUGUGAGCACGAUAACUCAAGAAAUACCAAACAUAUUCGUACGAAAUUUUGUGAGUGCAUUUCCCAUCGGCUAAGGAAGAACUGAUUAAAAUUUGGUUGAAUUUGGUUAAAAAUUGAAUGAGAAAUAACAAAAGUUUGUCUUGCUUUUCCCGG